GACGAACGCUGGCGGCGUGCUUAACACAUGCAAGUCGAACGGAAGUUAAGUUUCGAAUUUAACUUUAGUGGCGAACGGGUGAGUAACGCGUGAGGAACCUGCCUUUCAGUGGGGGACAACAGUUGGAAACGACUGCUAAUACCGCAUGACACCAUAGUACCGCAUGGUACAGUGGUCAAAGAUUUAUUGCUGAAAGAUGGUCUCGCGUCUGAUUAGCUAGUUGGUGAGGUAACGGCUCACCAAGGCGACGAUCAGUAGCCGACCUGAGAGGGUGACCGGCCACAUUGGGACUGAGACACGGCCCAA
rnacentral:rRNA from 1 species